CACCCAUUUAGCUGAGCUCACACAUGUCAAAUGCCGUUUUGAAGAUUUAGCGUGAGAUGUAGGGCUGUUUUUUAUUUAUUUUAUUGUCUAGCAAUAUAUUAGUUAAUGUUGUAUUUAAUUUGCACCGUAUAUUAUUUUGUAUAUUCCACUGGCUUUUUUUUUUUUUUUAAGAUGUUUUUGAAUCUCCUUGCUCUUCAUGAAAAUGUCUGUCUGCUGGUCUCAGGGGUAACAAGAAAAACUAAACAAAAAAACACUCGCGCUCAGAGAAGGUUGAAUGAAGCAGGUCGAAUGGUUGCAGUGUCCUUGGUUCAUGGUGGUCCUGGCCCUGGAUUUUUCUCUCAGGUUCUUUUUGGCUCCUUAGUCUAUGGACCUGAAUCUGUGGCACCAAAACUAGAGGAUGUAGCAGACUUUGAAGUGGCUCACAAAAUCCAACAGAAAACGAGGCAUCAGUGACAAUGGAAUUGAUUCUAGCAUUUGCAACAGGGGCAGACAGCAUUCCUCCAUGUGGAUUCUCUCCUGUACCAACAACUGAAUUUCUCCAUCAAACUGAAACAAUGCAACCAGGGGUACUACCAGUUGCAAACACAUGCAUAAACUGUCUAAAGCUACCCAUCCAUCAGACAUAUGAAGAAUUUAAUUUUUUUGUCUGAAACACUCAAGGUUUUGGACAAGAAUAACGUGUGAUCACAAACAUAAAACUGGUAAUGCUUAUUGGUGUUUGCUUCCUUUGUUUUUAAAAAGUAUAUUGUUUUAUGUAAAAUGAUAAAUGAAAGUAAAAGUGGCCAUUGCAAUUUACUUAAAUUGUAUGGUUGGCUAUUUGCUAACAACAAAUUGAAUGCACACAUGUCGGCAUUAAAGACAUUUUCAGGACCUGAAAAUGUCUUUAAUGCUGAUAUGUGUGCAUUCGUUUUACAUAUACGAGUAUACUUUUUUGACUGGGUGUAGGAAAUCAAGUUGAAAUGUUUUCCUUUGUUAAAGAACACUGAUUUAUUUUCGUAAAAUACAUAGGCCUAGAUUUAAUCAAACUCCAGCCUACCCACAGGUUGCAAAAUAUAAAUGUAGUAUUUGAUGGUGAAUGAGAACAAGUAAGGAGCCCCUGGCACAAAGAAAACCAACAAGUACUGGGUUUGUAUAUUUUGAUUUAUGGGUGGCUUAAAUUCUUCAUUUGUUUCAGGACUUUUAUAUAAUUUAUUUUACACAUAACUGUUUAUGAAAGAAAAAAAUAUAUCCUGGAUAUUUCCAGCAGAUUCUUUCAUUUUGCUGUUUGAUUAUUGUAUAGUAACAAAGUUGAACAAAAGCUCAAAUCCUAAUGGAAAUGGAGAAGACAGGUUCCACCUUUCUAGAACUAUUUCUGCAUUGUUAUAAUUGCAGCACAGAUCAUUCUGUGACAUUUAUUUGUUGUUUUCAAUUAAAAAGAAGGACCUUCCUACUCCAAAUAUUAUUUGAAUAACAUGUACAACCAUGGUGCAUUACAAAUACUUUUGCUUCUUAGGACAGCUUAAAGAAAUGGAAAAUGUAGAGAUUGCAUUUUAGUAUUCUGAUGUUAACAUUAAGUAGACAAUGUUAUGUAUUACAUAGUCAGAGGAGGAAAAAAGAAGAUAAGCCUUAUUCUGUCACAGGACUAGGGUUGAGAAACACUUGAAAGCAGGGGCCUUAAUCUAGGUAGCUUUAUUACUGGAAGAAGUGUUCACAACCAAAGAAUUGAAAGUUUAUGGGUAGAACUCAAUAGAGUAGUUAUUGCACGCUACUGCAAUCUCUUCCAGUUUGUGGAUCAGCAGAACAUUGUUAAUCAGUGGAACCACCAUGGGCUCUCAACACAAAAUCACUAUUCUCCUCUACAGCUUUGGCAUUUAGGAAUUAUUAAUCAUAUUGUCUCAAUGUAGUGUAGUGUUGACCAGUAUUUCUUUACCCUGGGCCUGGAGUACCCCUCUGCUGGUUUUUGUUCCAACCAAGCUCUCAAUUACUUAAUAGAACCCUAAUUUGAACUCAUAAUUUGUCUAAUCGGUGCUUUUGAAUUAUUUUUAUCUCCUAAAGAGUUGGUAUUUCUCAAGUUAUGUAUAAAAUUAUAUUAUUAAGUAACUUGAAAUAUUCAAUGCUUUAUCUGCAAAACCAUUUAAAAUGUCUAAUUAAGAAAACUGUUCAUUCAAUUGAGGGUUCAAUUAAGUAACUGAGAGCAGCUCAGUUGGAAUGAAAGCCAGCAACCACAGGGGUACUCCAGGACCGGGGUUGAGAAACCCUGGUGUUGACUACUAAUUCAACAGCACAAUUAAUAAUGUGUGUUAAGAUUUCUAUAUAAAAGGGCUCCAUUGUGAAUGUGUAAGUAGGA